GCCUGAGUGGCUCAAUCGGUUAAACAUCUGACUUUGGCUCGGAUCAUGAUCUCAUGAUCUGUGAGUUCAAGCCUCACCUUGGGCU
rnacentral:tRNA from 1 species